GACGAACGCUGGCGGCGUGCUUAACACAUGCAAGUCGAACGGAAAGGCCUCUUUCGGGGGGUACUCGAGUGGCGAACGGGUGAGUAACACGUGAGUAACCUGCCCUUGACUUUGGGAUAACUUCGGGAAACUGGGGCUAAUACCGGAUAGGAGCUCCUGCUGCAUGGUGGGGGUUGGAAAGUUUCGGCGGUUGGGGAUGGACUCGCGGCUUAUCAGCUUGUUGGUGGGGUAGUGGCUUACCAAGGCUUUGACGGGUAGCCGGCCUGAGAGGGUGACCGGCCACAUUGGGACUGAGAUACGGCCCAGACUCCUACGGGAGGCAGCAGUGGGGAAUAUUGCACAAUGGGUGGAAGCCUGAUGCAGCAACGCCGUGGGCGGGAGGACGGCCUUCGGGUUGUAAACCGCUUUCGCUCAUGACGAAGCUUUGUGUGACGGUAGUGGGUAAAGAAGCACCGGCUAACUACGUG
rnacentral:rRNA from 1 species